UAGUUUAAAAAUUGUUUGGUAUUUAUUUUAGGUAUACAUAUCGAGUAGAAUGCAUGAAUUUUUUAAUAAACAAUAGAUAAGAAGUACUGUAAUGGAAUUUUGAAAAACUGAAAAUUUAAGUAUUAAUAAGUAAAAAAUUUUGUACCUUUUGCAUUAGGGUUUAAUGAAAUUAAGAAAAAAUUUUUUUUUCCCGAAAAAUCUUGAGCUACUAGAAUCUUUGUAUUGAUGUUGCAAAAUUUAUAUUAAAUUUUUAGUAGAAAUGAAAUUUUAGGCAAAAGGUUUGAUAUCUGGUUAGAAUAAAAAACUACAUGUUUUUGUAUAUGUCUUAAAUUUUUUGCUAUGUAUACUUUUUGUUUUUUGGGAUAAGCUAAAAAAUUUGUAUAUAUAGUAAAUAUUUUGUUAUUAAAGGCUUAAAAUUUGCUUAGUUUUGUUAUAAAAAAGUUGUAAUAGAUUUUUUAGUUAUUUUUUGUUACGUUUUAAUUAAUGAAAUGUUAAAAGUGUUUAUGUUAAGAUGAGUAUAAUUUUUUAUAAAUGUUUAAUUUUAAUAUAUAUUGGUUUAGAAAAUUAAAGAAAUAAAAAUUCGGCAAGUCAAAUUUCUGAUUGUUUAACAAAAACAUUGUAUUUUGAUGAGGAUAAAAUAUAUAACCUGCUCAAUGAAAUUGAAAUUUAAAUUGCUGUGGUAUUAUGACUAUGCGAAGGUAUUGAAAUAAGGCUUUAAAUGGGUGCUAAGAGAAUGGUUGAACAGAGAUUAACUUUUUUUUUCUUUUUAAUAGAAUUUAGUAUGAAAAUGCAAAAAUUUUUAUAUGAGUUUGGGACAAGAAGACCCUAUGAAUUUUAAUUUAAAAAAUUUAGGUAUUAAAUUUUAAAAAUUUUAGUAAUUUUUUAAAAUUGGUUGGGGUGACUUUUAAAGAAUUAAUAUCUUUAAAAUAUAAUUGAAGUUAGUUCCAACAUUGUUGAUUAAUUGAAAAAAAUACUCUAGGGAUAACAGCGUUAUUAUUUUGGAUAGUUCAUAUAGAUAAAAUAGAUUGCGACCUCGAUGUUGGAUUAAGAUACUUAUAUAAUGAAGAAGUUAUAUUAAGGAGUUUGCUCAACUUUUAAAGUCUUACAUGAUCUGAGUUCAGACCGGCGGGAGCCAGGUUGGUUUCUAUCUAAAUUGUAAUAUUUUUUUUAUAGUACGAAAGGAAUUAAAAAGGUAAAAUUUUUAAGUGAGGAAAUAGGUAAUUUAAGUUUAAUAAGGAUAGGAG
rnacentral:rRNA from 1 species